rnacentral:rRNA from 1 species
UACGUAGGUGACAAGCGUUGUCCGGAUUUACUGGGCGUAAAGAGCGCGCAGGCGGUCGUUCAAGUCGAGUGUGAAAGCCCCCGGCUCAACUGGGGAGGGUCAUUCGAUACUGAUCGACUCGAAGGCAGGAGAGGGAAGUGGAAUUCCCGGUGUAGUGGUGAAAUGCGUAGAUAUCGGGAAGAACACCAAUGGCGAAAGCGACUUCCUGGCCCGCUACUGACGCUGAGGCGCGAAAGCCAGGGGAGCGAACGGG